rnacentral:rRNA from 1 species
AAUGAACGUUGGCGGCGUGGAUUAGGCAUGCAAGUCGCGCGAGAAGUCAUUUAGCUUGCUAAAAGACGGACAGCGGCGGAAGGGAGAGUAACGCGUGAUUAUGUACCCUCGAGACCGGGAUAGUGUCGGGAAACUGGCAGUAAUACCGGAUAACAUCUUCGGAUCAAAUGGUGUGAUUCCGCUCGAGGAUCGGACCGCGUACUAUUAGCUAGUUGGAGGGGUAAUAGCCCACCAAGGCUUAGAUGGUUACCGGGUGUGAGAGCAUGGCCCGGCUCACUGGGACUGAGACACUGCCCAGACAUCUACGGAUGGCUGCAGUCGAGAAUCUUCGGCAAUGGACGAAAGUCUGACCGAGCGACGCCGCGUGCGGGAUGAAGGCCUUCGGGUUGUAAACCGCUGUCAGUUAGGAGGAAAUCCAUGAGGGUUCUCUCUCAUGGUUGACCGAUUUUCAGAGGAAGGACGGGCUAAGUUCGUGCCAGCAGCCGCGGUAACAC